GCCGGAAUAGCUCAAUUGGUAGAGCAACUGACUUGUAAUCAGUAGGUUGAGGGUUCAAGUCCUUUUUCCGGCACCA
rnacentral:tRNA from 6 species